CGAUUGACAAUUUUGGUCCUAUUAACUUUUUUGUAGAUCUUUAUUUGCUGAACAUUGUUACUUGUUACAGUUUAUCUCUAUCUAUUAUAAUAUUCUAAUAUCCAAGAUAAUAUAAAAAAAAACUGCAAAAUUUCCUUAAAAUUACUAAUUUAGUGGCAGCAUCCCAACAAUGGGUUGUUCAAUUCGUCUGAACAUUUGAGGGCCGAAUCUGG
rnacentral:lncRNA from 1 species